CCUACGAGUGGCUACAGUGGGGAAUCUUUGUCAAUGGGCGCGAGCCUGAACCAGCCACGUAGCGUGAAGGAUGACUGCCCUCCGGGUUGUAAACUUCUUUUAUAAAGGAGUAAAGUGAGGCACGUGUGUCUUCUUGUAUGUACUUUAUGAAUAAGGAUCGGCAAACUACGUGCCAGCGGCCGCGGUAAUACGGAGGAUCCGAGCGUUAUCCGGAUUUAUUGGGUUUAAAGGGAGCGUAGAUGGGUUGUUAAGUCAGUUGUGAAAGUUUGCGGCUCAACCGUAGAAUUGCAAUUGAUACUGGCAGUCUUGAGUACAGUUGAGGUAGGCGGAAUUCGUGGUGUAGCGGUGAAAUGCUGAGAGAUCACGAAGAACUCCGGUUGCGAAGGCAGCUUACUAAACUGCCACUGACAUUGAUGCGCGAAAGUGUGGGUAUCAAACAGGAUUAGAUACCCUGGUAGUC
rnacentral:rRNA from 1 species